GUUCGAUUAAUAAUUGGUUAAGAAAAAUGUGCAUGUUUAAAGACAGUCUGUACAGAAUAUAUUUGUUAAUUGAUCGGUUAAACCGUUCCAGGCAUUGUAGAAAUCAAAUACACCGAAACCAUUCCAUAGGAGCCUGUGGUACAAUAAAUGGACUAGGAGGAAUGGGAUACAGGUGAAGAGUAUUGAGGCAGUCAAAGUAAAAGGCCAAUCAAAAUCCAGUUGAAGCUAGAACAUUUAGAAUGGGCUGCGUCUCAAGCCACUGCAGCCGCCUGUCACCCUUACGCAUCUGCAGUGGACAGGGGCCGAGCUACAGUGGUGUUGGUCAGACACCCCAAAAAUGCAGUCUCAAAAACAUCUAUAGCUUCAGAACGGUUUGGCCUACAAACUGACCAUUAUGGGAAAUUGACUCCCGAACAUAGUUACGUUUCCCUCUAUAACCCCACAAUUGUAAGACAGGUAACCCAUACAAACAGAAAUAUGGAGGUAGAAGCAUCCAAAAUAACAUUUGAGUCAACUAGAUAUGGAACAGACACUCCUAAACUGAUUUUACUCUUUGCCAUUUGUGGUAUGGGCUAUAGUAUGAGGCGAAAUGCAAGUUAAACACCAACUCGUCACUCAAUUCUAGUAGCUAAAUGAGCCAUGGUGAUGAGUCAUGGUCUGACCAUCUAAAAAACAUUCCCUAUAUGUUAACUUACUGAGGUCAUUUAUGAACAUUUGAACAACUUGGCCAUGUUCUGUUUUAAUCUCCACCCGGCACAGCCAGAAGAGGACUGGCCACCCCACAUAGCCUGGUUCCUCUAGGUUUUGGCCUUUCUAGGGAGUUUUUCCUAGCCACUGUGCUUCUACACCUGCAUUGCUUGCUGUUUGGGGUUUCUGUACAGCACUUUGAGAUGUCAGCUUAUGUAAUGAAGGGCUAUAUAAAUAAAUUUGAUUUGAAGAAAGUCUCACUGUAUACAAUGCAUGCCUACAUCUAAAGUAUGAACAUAUGAAGAAUGUCUGACAACUCACCCCUUGACAAAUGUAGACCCAAGCUUUUAUUUUGAACAACCAGUAGCAAAGGUAAAAGACUAGAAAAACCAAAGAAUUAACUGAGCAGUCAUUUUUACUACAGACUGCACACCACCUGUUCUCAAUUAGCAAGCAAUGGACACGAGAACCAUUAUUUCACAGAGACAGGGCAUUUUUUAAAGUAGAACUGUUCAUGUACUCCCUCACGCUAGAGUAGCAAGAGCACCAGACACUUCCUGGUCGAAACAAAAGCAGAAAGAAAUGCAGUGUCAGCAACACAGAAUGUUAAACCAAUGUCAAAAGUAGUUC
ensembl:lncRNA